AGAAUUAUUUUCCCUCUCCCCCUCCCAACAGCUACCCUUCCCCCUUCGAUCCCCUCCCUUGUAGGAUUUUUUUUUUUUUUUUUUCCUGAAAGGCGGGUGAGGUGGGUUCAAUAUCUGUUCUCCCUAGUGAGAGGAAUACAGCCUCUAGAGAAAACUUCUCCUUGCAGACGAGGUUUGCUCAGCUCCAGGGGAAGUAGCAUCCCUGUAGCACAAGCACAAAUGCUCAGCCAGGUCCCUUCAGGCACCGAGAAAUUAUCCGGGAUACCCAAGCCGACUUUUGAGCAAGCAGAUCCCAUGAAAAGUGCAGUCCCUCUGGCCAGCCCCAAGCGAAAAUCUCGCCGGCGAGAAGACCAGAAAACCAGAAAGGCGAGGAGCGGCAGACGCUGACCCUGCCUUCCUCCAGCCCGUGCAGUCAGCGCCGGCGUCAGGGCAAAAAAAUAUAUUCAUGUUCAUUUUCCUCUCUCUGGGGCACUGGUGAGUUUCCUAACAGGGCCGCCUGUGAAAGGAUGAGUUGAGGUUUCUUUGUCUGGAAAAGAGUUUAGGGCUUUGAUUCAGCUGCAAAGAAGCCAAAUGAAGUUAGAAACAAAGGGUAAAUUGAAGGAUUCCGACUCUUGGCUUUUUGUGUUUUCCUUACUAGAAAAUAAUUAGACCUAAUGAAUAUGCAGACGCUUCAGCUAAGCCCUCGGCCAGGGCUGCUGAGUUUUAAACAGAGCUGCGGAGAAAUGCAACCUUCAGCCCCACAACCCCCCGCAUCCGCGAGCAUUUUUUUGAAAUGCAUAAAUGUUGCUUGGCUUAAUUGAUUGAGUCACAGGGAUUUUUUUUUUUUCCUGCUUUUAAGUACCAUACUCCCCUACCUUUCAACAAUCAUUUUAAUAUAUAGUCAAUGGCUCUUUGUGGACGGGACAAAAAGAAAGUACGCGCAGUUGUUGAAUAGACUUUGCGCUAGGCAAAGACAGGUUAAUCGAGGGCCGCAUCGCGAAAACAAGCGAGUGUUGUAUGUUUGCACUGAAUCCAAAUGUCUGCAUUUUCCUAACUAAAUCAAAGGGAGUGUUAUUUCUUUUUCUGUUCACUCAUCUGAAGGUAAGUAAAUUUUCUCUGGCGAUCAAAAGCCUGGUCGGCAACAAAGACCGCGCCCGCUUUUUCCACCGUCCUGGUGUGGCGAGUUGCGGAAUUUCAAUAACUGUGACAAGGGUGACUGAUUUGUGAACUAGAAAAGGUUUGAAUGUCACAAAAUUUACAUUGGUCCUAUCUAUUGGGGAUUUAAAUACCAAAAAAGUAUUCGGGGAUCUCUAGGGAGCUUUGGGCAGCCCAAGGGAACAAUGGCGCAUUGGGAAAUUUACAGUUUUACCUGAAUGAAAGGGGCCCAAGUAGGGAACAGGAGACCAGAGAGAAAGAGUUAGCGGGGGCAGUCGAGGGAGACAAGGGAAAGAGAGAAAAGAGAAAAAUAAGGCAAGAGAGGGAAAAAGAAAAGGAAAUUGUCAACAACGUUUCAAAUUUGCCAUUAAAAAAUUCCAACCUCAAUAACCUGGGAACUUAAGCGCUUUCAUCCACGUGUGUGUGUGUGUGUGUGUGUGUGUGUGUGUGUGUGUGUGUUUGGGGGUGCGGUGGUGCAGGAAGUCUGAUUAGAUAAAAGCGAGAAUACAGAGGCUACCGGUUACACUGAGAAAUUGCAUUUCUUGUAAAGAGAGCAUAGUGCCCGUGUGCUCCCAAGAUCUUAAAUUAUAAACAGGAGGGGGACUAAGCAAGAGGGAAACAAACUUCAAAAGGAGCAAAUAACAAAAGCCUUUUUUGCUGCCCUUGAAUGGGGGGAAAGGGGGAAGAAAGAAAAGAAAGUUGCUGAAUCGGGACAUUCUGGAAGUGCCUUUGCUGUGUUUACCAGCCCCAUCCCCGCCUCCUGCACAAGGAUACGCCCGAAGUCUCUAAACGCUCAGCGAAGAGUAGGUUUAGGGAAGAACCGCGCGGGGGUGGGGGUGGGGGCAUGGGAGGAGGAGGAGGAAUGCAAACAACUGUGAGAAGGAAAGGAAUCGUGGCAAAAAAAAAAAAAAAAAAUUCCGUGAGAAGAGGGAAAAAAUUUGGCUAAAAAGAAAGUUGCUUCUCCUGGCAGUCCUGGUUUGUCAAAAGGGGAUGUCAAGCGCUUUACAAUACCUGGGAUUGAUGAGGCGGGCGGGCCAAUGAGCUGCGCUCGGCGCCUCGGCGCGCCCUCCGUUGGCGCGGCGGCUGCAGGCGGGGGGAGUGCAGGCGCACCAAUGGGCGCCAGCAUCCGCAGCACGUGACACCUCCCCCUGCUCCCAUUCAUCAAGGGGGGGACGGUGUCGUCCUUUCAAUUCAUUUAUCUGCAGGAAUGAUUGCUGCUAUCAGUCUCGCGCUCACCGCCCGGCUGAGGAGGUGAAAGUUUCUCCCCAGGAAGAUAAACCGCAAAAGACAAUAUUGUGCAUGAUUUGCGCCUUUUCUUUGGCUUUUUCUUUCUUUCUUCUCCCCCCCACCCACUUUUUUUUUUUUUUUUUUUUUUUUUUUUUUUUU